UCACUUUUGGAUGGUCCCGCGGCGUAUUAGCUAGAUGGUGGGGUAACGGCUCACCAUGGCAAUGAUACGUAGCCGACCUGAGAGGGUAAUCGGCCACAUUGGGACUGAGACACGGCCCAAACUCCUACGGGAGGCAGCAGUAGGGAAUCUUCCACAAUGGACGAAAGUCUGAUGGAGCAACGCCGCGUGAGUGAAGAAGGGUUUCGGCUCGUAAAACUCUGUUGUUAAAGAAGAACAUAUCUGAGAGUAACUGUUCAGGUAUUGACGGUAUUUAACCAGAAAGCCACGGUUAACUACGUGCCAUCAGCCGCGGUAAUACGUAGGUGGCAAGCGUUGCCCGGAUUUAUUGGGCGUAAAGCGAGCGCAGGCGGUUUUUUUAAGUCUGAUGUGAAAGUCCUUCGGCUCCACCGAAGAAGUGCAUCGGAAACUGGGAAACUCGCGUGCAGAAGAGGACAGUGCAACUCCUUCCGUAGUGC
rnacentral:rRNA from 1 species